rnacentral:rRNA from 1 species
GAUGAACGCUGGCGGCGUGCUUAACACAUGCCAGUCGAACGAUGAAGCCCAGCUUGCUGGGUGGAUUAGUGGCGAACGGGCGAGUAACACGUGAGUAACCUGCCCUUAACUCUGGGAUAAGCCUGGGAAACUGGGUCUAAUACCGGAUAGGAGCGCCUACCGCAUGGUGGGUGUUGGAAAGAUUUAUCGGUUUUGGAUGGACUCGCGGCCUAUCAGCUUGUUGGUGAGGUAAUGGCUCACCAAGGCGACGACGGGUAGCCGGCCUGAGAGGGUGACCGGCCACACUGGGACUGAGACACGGCCCAGACUCCUACGGGAGGCAGCAGUGGGGAAUAUUGCACAAUGGGCGAAAGCCUGAUGCAGCGACGCCGCGUGAGGGAUGACGGCCUUCGGGUUGUAAACCUCUUUCAGUAGGGAAGAAGCGAAAGUGACGGUACCUGCAGAAGAAGCACCGGCUAACUACGUG